UGCUGUGAUACUAGUUGAGGUAUAUAUUCAAGGUCGUGUAUAAUUUGGUGGUAGAGAUGAUUAGAUUGUGCAGUGGAAGCAUAUUGUUUAUAUAGAGAAUAUUGAGUUAUUUGAGCAGUAUAAUUGGGGGUCUGAGUGUUUUUCUGAGCUUUUCAAAUCACUCAGAAGUAUUUUUGCACAAGGGCCAAAAACGCCCCAAAGAAUUAUCAUCUUGUUGGGUUUGUCCAUGCUUUUAUGAUUUGGGUCUGGGCUAGGUGGAAAUUGUAUAGCGAUACAAAUUGUGAGGUUGUUGGCAAAGUUGAAGAACCUACUAUGCUAUCAUGUGUCCACACAGGGCGUGCUCCAUAAUUUUCUACUUUAAAAAAGUUGCUUUUCGAUGAAGAGAACUAUAAAAAGAUAAAGGAGUGGUUGAUCGAGGCCAUAAGAAAAAUGCUCAAAAUGUCAAUCAAAGCUCUUCUCUAGAGCGUCGUGUUGAGAUACGUAUUUUGUGUUUUUUUUUGGGCUAUUGUUGUAUUUUCUUUUGAAUCUCAUUUUCUUUAGAUGUGUCCUUUUUUUUUUCUUCUGAAAUUGAAACUUUUCCUUUAUAGGCAUAACUUGUGUAAUAGUUGUAGAGUUUUGUUAAUUUGUGAAUUUGAAACUCUGCCUCUACAGGCAUAACUUUUGCAUAAAACUUGUAUAGUUAUAUUAACUUCUGAAAUUGAAACUUUGCCUCUAUAUGCAUAAGUUGUGUAUACUUUGCCUGCCUCUAUAGGCAUAACUUUGUGUAACACUUAUAUAGUUUUAUUUAACUUGUGAAUUUGAUACUCUGCCUCCAUAGGCAUACUUUCGUGUAAAACUUGUAUAGUUAUAUUAACUUCUGAAAUUGAAGUUUGCCUCUAUAGGCAUAAGUUGUGUCCAGUUUGCCUGCCUCUAUAGGCAUAACUUUUAUGUAACACUUGUACAGUUGUAGUUAACUUCUGAAAAUGGCACUUUGCCUCUAUAGGAAUAAGUUGUUCUCUUUUAAAGUUUGUAAUUUAUUAAAACUUUCCUCUAUUUGUUUUUUGUAUAGUUUUUGGAGAAAGUUUGUGAUAGAAAAUUGGACAAGAUUUUGGAUAAUCAAAAGAAGGAGAAGCAACGUAUGGAUCGACUAAUUACUGCUCUUAAAAAACCAGGUUUAAUUUUCCAAUCGGAAAGCGCUAGCGGUGCUGAUGAUGUUUCUCAACAUUUUGAUCAUUUAAUAGUGUCUUCACCUAUCGAAUAGGGUAGAAAGAGGACAACAAGAUAUGUUGCUCGACAUUCCGUUGUGCAAAAGUACGGUUCAAGAGACUGCUGAUAUUGAACAAUCAUCUGUUUCAGUUUUUGGUGAUAGGAGUUCUGUGGAUGGCACAGGAUAUGCUACUGAGGGUAGGUAACUAGCUAAUUUGGAAGGUUUGCAAGCGAUUUCUACUGAAGUAGUCACUCAUGGAGUUAAUUUGGAUGAUCUUCCCUGUAUUCAUACUGAACAAGGAAUUAAACAAACUGAUGUAGCUUCUCACAGUGCAACAAGAAGUGUUGUUGCAUAUAAGAGAAAAUGUUUGCGCAAGAAAUUCCACGCUCUACUCCUCGUUCCGACGUACAGGCGCAGAAUGAAGUGGUGUAUUCUCCUAAAACAAGGGUUGAAUCUUGUGUCCUAGUUAUUUGAGAUGGAACAAGAGAAGAGGUUGAUCCGUUUUUGUUGGAUCCUCUUCAAACUUCUACUGUGCUAGGUGAUACAGAAUUAUCAUCUCAGCAAGGUGAAUCUUCUAUUGGAGAUGGCAGAAGAGAAGACAGUGAUUUAUUGAUGCCGGAUCCUACUCCUCAAACACCAUCUCAACAAGUUGAAUCUUUUGUUGGAGAACAAAGAAUAGAAGUGUGCGAUUCAGUGGUGUCAGAUCCUAUUGAAACAACUACCAAAGCACCUGAUACUAAACAAGCAUCUAUGAAGUUCAAUCUCUUGUUGAAGAUGGAACAAGAGAGGAGGGUUAUUCAAAUCCUCUUUAACCAACUACUGUGCCAUCUUAUACGGUAAUGGUAUUGGAAGAAAUUGGAUCUCCUCUUGGAGAUAGAAUAAGAGUGGCUAGUGUGCCAGCUGAUAUGGUAAUGGCAUCUAAAGAAAUUGAAUCUCUUGUUCGAGAUAGAAUAAGGGAAGCUAGUGUGCCAGCUGAUAUGUAAUGGCAUAUGAAGAAAUUGAAUCUCCUGUUAAAGAUAGAAUAAGAUAAGCUAGUGUGCCAAGUGAUACGACAAUGACAUCUAAACAAAUUGAAUCUCCUGUUGGAGAUAGAAUAAGAGAAGAGAGGUGAUCCAUUGGUUUUGGAUCAUCUUCCUGAAUUGGUUGAAGUUCAAGUCACCGGUGAUGUGCUUGAAAAUGUUGAGUGUUCAACGGUUGAAGAUAAAUCAGUGAAUUUGCCUGAUGAAUAGUCUAAUGAGGGUGGUCAAAAGUCACAGAUUAUCUUCGCUGGUGUGGUACACGAGGAGCCUCUUGAAUUCGUUAUUCCGUUGAGAAGGGAACCUGUGCGGCAUACUUAGGGGGUACUCCUAGGGAGUCUGUUCAUUGUGAUGCAGGGAUUGAUACUCCCAACCCUAGCAAGGAUUUCCUAAUGUUGAAUUAGAACAAAUUAUGGAUCUCGCUUCUUGUGCCGUGGAAUCGGCUUCUAAUAUUCAAACCCCUCUUGUUGUGCAACAAGCACAUCGACAAGAGAAAGUAUUCUCUUCAUUGAAGACAAGAGGUCAGAGAAAAAAAGGGCAGUAGUCGACACCCCUCCACCUAGGUGUAUGCUUCUACUGAUUACAAUAAUCUCCCUCAUGGUUUUCGGAAAGAGAGAGGCGACUGGGACGAUGGCUACAA